UUGACCUCAAAUCAGGCAGGACUACCC
rnacentral:rRNA from 1 species